GACGAACCACACGAACGUUAUUCGGAAUUACUGGGCUUAAAGGGUGCGUAGGCUGUGCAGAAAGUUAGGUGUGAAAUCCCCCGUCUCAACCGGGGAAUUGCGCUUAAAACUACUGUGCUAGAGGAAGACAGAGGUGAGCGGAACUUCGGGUGGAGCGGUGAAAUGCGUUGAUAUCCGAAGGAACACCGGUGGCGAAAGCGGCUCACUGGGUCUUUUCUGACGCUGAUGCACGAAAGCUAGGGGAGCAAACAGG
rnacentral:rRNA from 1 species